CGGGGCGUAGCGCAGCCUGGUAGCGCACCUGCCUUGGGCGCAGGGGGUCGGAGGUUCGAAUCCUCUCGCCCCGAC
rnacentral:tRNA from 3 species